GGUUGACCUCGGAUCAGGUAGGGAUACCCGCUGAACUUAAGCAUAUCAAUAAGCGGAGGAAAAGAAACCAACAGGGAUUGCCUCAGUAACGGCGAGUGAAGCGGCAAGAGCUCAAAUUUGAAAGCUGGCCCCCUCGGGGUCCGCGUUGUAAUUUGCAGAGGAUGCUUCGGGUGCAGCCCCCGUCUAAGUGCCCUGGAACGGGCCGUCAUAGAGGGUGAGAAUCCCGUCUGGGACGGGGUGUCUGCGUCCGUGUGAAGCUCCUUCGAAGAGUCGAGUUGUUUGGGAAUGCAGCUCUAAAUGGGUGGUAAAUUUCAUCUAAAGCUAAAUACUGGCCGGAGACCGAUAGCGCACAAGUAGAGUGAUCGAAAGAUGAAAAGCACUUUGAAAAGAGAGUUAAACAGCACGUGAAAUUGUUGAAAGGGAAGCGUUUGCGACCAGACUCGCCCGCGGGGUUCAGCCGGCAUUCGUGCCGGUGUACUUCCCCGUGGGCGGGCCAGCGUCGGUUUGGGCGGCCGGUCAAAGGCCCUCGGAAUGUAUCACCUCUCGGGGUGUCUUAUAGCCGAGGGUGCAAUGCGGCCUGCCCGGACCGAGGAACGCGCUUCGGCUCGGACGCUGGCGUAAUGGUCGUAAAUGACC
rnacentral:rRNA from 1 species